GCGCGUAAAAGGUGAGCCAGACCCAAAGAGAGCGCCGCCUUCAGGGCUUCGCGUUCCCCGAGGUUUCCAGGAGACGCAGGCGUCCGUCAGCUGUUCGGCGCCCGGCGCAUCCUCCUGUCUCCGCCUCCCCGUGCUUCUUUCUCUGGACCGCUGUCUCGGCGCCUUUUCCGUGUCCGUAUUUGCUUCACGUUGAGCCCCACGUACAAUACCUGAAGACGAAGUUUUGUUCGUUCGGCUCGCGUUACGCAGGUACGGGUUGGCAACUGGAAAAGACGCGCUCGUCACCGCCGACGCGGUCCGCGCAAAUGAUGGGACCUCGGCUUUAUGCUUCAAAACAUAGUUUAAGAUGAAUUUUAAAAAAUAAAUAGAAAAAAUACACAAUAAUAAGAUGUUACGUCAGCUUUUAAAGACUUUAUAACAAGAUGGCUGUGUUACCUGGAGCCCAGGAGAAUAGAAUAUUUCACUGAAUAGCCUUAUUUGCAUACAGGUGGCAACAGGCAGCACUAGGUCAACAAGCCACCUGACUGGUGGAGUCAGAAUCAUUUAGUAGGUGGAUUUAAAGAAGCCUUAUGGAGAAGUCAUUGUUUGGCUCCUUAGAGGAGACAAGUAGACGCUUGUCUCGUUUGGCUCAAUGGACCUGACCUUUAACAAUAGGAAAAGCAAGGUUGCAGCAGGCGAGCGACUGAAUUGAUGAAGAUGUUUAAAGUUAAAAAGGUCGUACAUGAAUUCAUGCAGAUGUUCUUGUUCAGGGUUUAACUACACAUCUGUCUGCUCAAGUCAGCGUUUAUACAGCAGCUCAGUGUCACCGCUGAUAACAUUGGGGAAGUGUCAUUGUUCCGAGUCUUCAUGAAUCAUCCUGGGUUGAUCGUCUUCCUAUUUGUAGCGUCAGGGUUGACAUUUACAGCAGCAAAGACAGAUGGAGGGAGACGCGUUCACAAUCUUUUUCCCGCCGGCAGAUUAGCGAUGACGGUGUGUGUUUUCCGCUCGGGGCCCAUUCAUUACUGUCCACCUUCUACGUCAGCAGCGGCUGCUCCAGACGAGCCCCGCGGAGCGGGAGAUGGACCUAAUGGGAGGUUGUGUUAAUCAUUAACUAAACAUUAAGCACAGGCUCAGCGGACACCUGAUACAGGCCAUCUGUCAUUUGGAUGCAGCAUUCGGCCUUUUAUUGCUUGUAUUAUUUAUUAUUUUGGAGUUUAUGUCAGUGUUUUAAUGUGUUUGUUUGACAUUGUAAAGUGAAUGAUUUGACAAUAAAAGGAGGAUCCCUGUG